AACUUCAACAACGGAUCUCUGGUUCCGCAUCGAUGAAGAACGCAGCGAAUUGCGAUACGUAAUAUGACUUGCAGACGUGAAUCAUGAAUUUUGAACGCACAUUGCGCCUAAGGUAUCCCAAGGCAUGCGUGGAUGAGCGAUAUUUACCUCAAACCUUUUGGUUUGGUUUGUAAUCCCUAAAUAUCAACGGUAUCUAGAAUAAGUUUUAGAACCACCUUUUACUUCCUAUCUCGUAAGACUACCCGCUGAACUAAGCAUAUAAAUAAGCGAGAAAGAAACCAACAGGGAUGCCUCAGAACGGCGAGUGAAGCGGCAAAAGCUCAAAUGAAUCCUUCGGGAAUUGUAUUUGAAGGUGGUUUGGUUAGAAAGUUACUUUAAGUCCAUUGGAAAAUGGCGCCAUGGAGGUGAAGCCCCUAAAAAGUACCCUUCCUUUUAUCCAUUCCUCCAAAGAGUCGAGUGUUUGGAAUGCAGCUCUAAGUGGUGGUAAAUUCCACUAAAGCUAAAUAUGCGAGAGACCGAUAGCGAACAAGUACAGUGAUGAAAGAUGAAAAGCACUUUGAAAAGAGUGAAAAAUACGUGAAAUUGUUGAAAGGGAAGCUUGCAAGCAGACACAACCCGGUUGGCACGAUGGGGAGACAAAAAAGAAAAGAAUAACCUUUCGAGUAAUACCUUUCUCAUAUCCCACCCCUCCGAGCCGCGAUUCUCAAGAUCGCGUAAUGGUUCAAUCGCCCGUUGAAACACGACCAAGAUCAACGUAGCGAUUGAGUACAAACCCAAACCGCAAUGAAAUAAAGACGAACCUCACGCAGCCCGACCACAUAAGCCAACCAUAAUUAGUAAGCAUGUGUGGACCCGAAAGAGUGAACUAACCUGGAUAGGUGAAGCCAAGGAAACCUGGUGAGCCGAGCGUUCUGACGUCAAAUCGAUCGUCGAAUCUGGUAUAGGGCGAAAACAACGAACCAUCUAGUACUGUCCUGCCGAAGUUCCCUCAGAAGCAAACCGUUACAAACAUUAGAGGUAAAGCGAAGAUUAGACCUCCGGGGCGAAAUACCUAGCGUAUCCAAACUUAAAUAUUAAAAGCCUCCUUUAAUUAAAGUAGCAUGAAGAGCUUAGUGGCCAUUUGGUAAGCAGAACUGCGAGCGGGAUGAACCGAACGUGAAGUAAAGUCCAAAACACGCUCACAGACACCACAAAAGUUUAGUCAUCUAGACAGCCGGACGGGCCAUGGAAUCGGAAUCCGCUAAGAUUAACAACUCACCGGCCGAAUGAACUACCCUGAAAAGGAUGCGCUAAGCGGUACUAUACUCGCCCUAAACCAAUAGUAGGAUAGCAGGCGUGGAGAUGACGAAGCCUUGGAUGUGAAUCUGGUCGAACUCCUCUAUGCAGAUCUUGGGUAUAACAAAUAUCAAAGAAACUUGAAGACUGAAGUGGGAAAGGUUCCAUUCAACACAAUGAACAGGUUAGUCGAUCCAACCUCUAAUAAACCUGAUAACCCUCAUUUCAAGGUGAGGGAAAGGAAUUGGUAAUAUCCAAACUGGAUAUGAGUUCACGUAACGUAACUGAAUGUGAGACGUCGGCGGGCCCUGAAGAAGUUUCUUUUCUUCUAACAGCUUAUACCCUGGAUGAUAACCAGAAUGGUUAUGGCUGAAAGCAACCCUUAUGGUCCGUGCCCUACGACGUCCUUGAAAAUCCACAGAAGAUACUUUCAUGCCAAUCGUACUGAUAACCGCAGCAGGUCCCAAGUAACAGCCUCUAUGAAGAAAAUGUAAUAAGGAAUCGCAAAUAGAUCCGUAACUCGGAUAAGGAUGGCUCAAGGUUGAGGAUCGGGUUUGGCUAAGUGAAAGUAUUUAGGCCGGGCUUCGGACUCUGGCCUUUAGUCCCUCUACCCACCCUUUCACCCUCCCUCACAACAACCAUCUUAGAACGGUACGGACAAGGAACUGACGUCUAAUAAACAUAGCAUGCGAUGCAAAAGGAUGUGACGCAAUGAUUCUGCCCAUGCCUGAAGUCAAAGGAAGAAAUCAACCAACGCGGUAAACGCGGAGUAACUAUGACUCUCUAAGUACCAAAUGCCUCGUCAUCUAAUAUGACGCGCAUGAAUGAUAACGAAUCCCACGUCCUAUCUACUACUACGAAACCACAGCCAAGGAACGGCUGCAAAAUCACGGGAAAGAAACCCGUGACUGACUCUAGUUGACAUGUGAAAGAUGAGGUAGUAAGGGGAGCUCGGCGCCCGUGAAAUACCCCACCUCUCUAUCUUUACUACAGAGUGAAGACGAUCGUUGAAAAACCACCUUCAAGUAAAUCUUAGAAACGUCAGCUCAACACCGUCAAUGGGAGUUGCUGGGCGCACAUCUUAAACAAUAACGCAGGUCCUAAGGGGGCUCAUGGAAACAGAAAUCUCCAGUAGAACAAAAGGAAAAGCCCCUUGAUUGAUUUCAGUGUGAAUACAAACCAUAAAUGUGCCUAUCGAUCCUAACACCCCGAAUUGGGCAGAGGUCCAGAAAAGUACCACAGGAUAACUGCUGUGCAGUCAAGCGUCAUACGACAUUGCUUUGAUCUCGAUUCGCUCUCCUAUCAACCGAAGCAGAAUCGUAACGUGGAUGUUCACCCACAAUAGGAACGUGAGCUGGUAGACCGUCGUGAGACAGUUAUUAACCCACGAUGUUGUUGCAAUAGAAUGAACUUAGACGAAGGAACCGUCAUCAGAUAAUGGUAUGGCCCUGUCGAGAAGGCAUGGGCCGAAGCACCAUCGCUGAUAGGCGAACGCCUCAAUCAGAACCAUGCUAAACAACGCCACACCUUGCAUUGGAGUUGAUAAAAUAGCUCGGCCCGAACCAUAAGAGGAUUGAGAAUGUUGGAAGCACCUUCUCUACCUCGAAAGCAAUGUCACCUGCAAGCAUAAAUCCUUGCAUACGACUAGACACAACGGGUAUGUAAGUAAGUAGCCU
rnacentral:rRNA from 1 species